rnacentral:rRNA from 1 species
GACGAACGCUGGCGGCGUGCUUAACACAUGCAAGUCGAACGGAAAGGCCCUGCUUUUGUGGGGUGCUCGAGUGGCGAACGGGUGAGUAACACGUGAGUAACCUGCCCUUGACUUUGGGAUAACUUCAGGAAACUGGGGCUAAUACCGGAUAGGAGCUCCUGCUGCAUGGUGGGGGUUGGAAAGUUUCGGCGGUUGGGGAUGGACUCGCGGCUUAUCAGCUUGUUGGUGGGGUAGUGGCUUACCAAGGCUUUGACGGGUAGCCGGCCUGAGAGGGUGACCGGCCACAUUGGGACUGAGAUACGGCCCAGACUCCUACGGGGGGCAGCAGUGGGGAAUAUUGCACAAUGGGCGGAAGCCUGAUGCAGCAACGCCGCGUGCGGGAUGACGGCCUUCGGGUUGUAAACCGCUUUCGCCUGUGACGAAGCGUGAGUGACGGUAAUGGGUAAAGAAGCACCGGCUAACUACGUGCCAGCAGCCGCGGUGAUACGUAGGGUGCGAGCGUUGUCCGGAUUUAUUGGGCGUAAAGGGCUCGUAGGUGGUUGAUCGCGUCGGAAGUGUAAUCUUGGGGCUUAACCCUGAGCGUGCUUUCGAUACGGGUUGACUUGAGGAGGGUAGGGGAGAAUGGAAUUCCUGGUGGAGCGGUGGAAUGCGCAGAUAUCAGGAGGAACACCAGUGGCGAAGGCGGUUCUCUGGGCCUUUCCUGACGCUGAGGAGCGAAAGCGUGGGGAGCGAACAGGCUUAGAUACCCUGGUAGUCCACGCUGUAAACGGUGGGUACUAGGUGUGGGGUCCAUUCCACGGGUUCCGUGCCGUAGCUAACGCUUUAAGUACCCCGCCUGGGGAGUACGGCCGCAAGGCUAAAACUCAAAGGAAUUGACGGGGCCCCGCACAAGCGGCGGAGCAUGCGGAUUAAUUCGAUGCAACGCGUAGAACCUUACCUGGGUUUGACAUGGAUCGGGAGCGCUCAGAGAUGGGUGUGCCUCUUUUGGGGUCGGUUCACAGGUGGUGCAUGGCUGUCGUCAGCUCGUGUCGUGAGAUGUUGGGUUAAGUCCCGCAACGAGCGCAACCCUUGUUCACUGUUGCCAGCACGUUAUGGUGGGGACUCAGUGGAGACCGCCGGGGUCAACUCGGAGGAAGGUGGGGAUGACGUCAAGUCAUCAUGCCCCUUAUGUCCAGGGCUUCACGCAUGCUACAAUGGCUGGUACAGAGAGUGGCGAGCCUGUGAGGGUGAGCGAAUCUCGGAAAGCCGGUCUCAGUUCGGAUUGGGGUCUGCAACUCGACCUCAUGAAGUCGGAGUCGCUAGUAAUCGCAGAUCAGCAACGCUGCGGUGAAUACGUUCCCGGG